GGGGACUACGGUCGCAAGACUAAAACUCAAAGGAAUUGACGGGGACCCGCACAAGCGGUGGAGCAUGUGGUUUAAUUCGAUGCAACGCGAAAAACCUUACCACUCCUUGACAUGGAGAUUAGAUCCUUCUUAACGGAAGGGCGCAGUUCGGCUGGAUCUCGCACAGGUGCUGCAUGGCUGUCGUCAGCUCGUGUCGUGAGAUGUUGGGUUAAGUCCCGCAACGAGCGUAACCCUCAUCCUUAGUUGCCAGCGGGUAAUGCCGGGCACUUUAAGGAAACUGCCGGUGGUAAACUGGAGGAAGGUGGGGAUGAUGUCAAGUCAGCACGGCCCUUAUGGGGUGGGCUACACACGUGCUACAAUGGUGACUACAAUAGGUUGCAAUGUCGCAAGGCUGAGCUAAUCCGUAAAAGUCAUCUCAGUUCGGAUUGUCCUCUGCAACUCGAGGGCAUGAAGUCGGAAUCGCUAGUAAUCGUGGAUCAGCAUGCCACGGUGAAUACGUUCUCGGGUCUUGUACACACUGCCCGUCACG
rnacentral:rRNA from 1 species